AGCAGCCGCGGUAAUUCCAGCUCCAAUAGCGUAUAUUAAAGUUGUUGCAGUUAAAAAGCUCGUAGUUGAACCUUGGGCCUGGCUGGCCGGUCCGCCUAACCGCGUGAACUGGUCCGGCCGGGCCUUUCCUUCUGGGGAGCCGCAUGCCCUUCACUGGGCGUGUCGGGGAACCAGGACUUUUACUGUGAAAAAAUUAGAGUGUUCAAAGCAGGCCUUUGCUCGAAUACAUUAGCAUGGAAUAAUAGAAUAGGACGUGUGGUUCUAUUUUGUUGGUUUCUAGGACCGCCGUAAUGAUUAAUAGGGACAGUCGGGGGCAUCAGUAUUCAAUUGUCAGAGGUGAAAUUCUUGGAUUUAUUGAAGACUAACUACUGCGAAAGCAU
rnacentral:rRNA from 1 species